GAUGAACGCUAGCGGGAGGCCUAACACAUGCAAGCCGAGCGGUAUUGUUUCUUCGGAAAUGAGAGAGCGGCGUACGGGUGCGUAACACGUGUGCAACCUGCCUUUAUCUGGGGGAUAGCCUUUCGAAAGGAAGAUUAAUACUCCAUAAUAUAUUGUACGGCAUCGUUUAAUAUUGAAAGCUCCGGCGGAUAGAGAUGGGCACGCGCAAGAUUAGCUAGUUGGUGAGGUAACGGCUCACCAAGGCGAUGAUCUUUAGGGGGCCUGAGAGGGUGAUCCCCCACACUGGUACUGAGACACGGACCAGACUCCUACGGGAGGCAGCAGUGAGGAAUAUUGGUCAAUGGGUGCAAGCCUGAACCAGCCAUCCCGCGUGAAGGACGACUGCCCUAUGGGUUGUAAACUUCUUUUGUAUAGGGAUAAACCUACCCUCGAGAGGGUAGCUGAAGGUACUAUACGAAUAAGCACCGGCUAACUCCGUG
rnacentral:rRNA from 1 species